AACCCAUGAUGAGGGCGCAUUUUCAAUAAAUCCUUAUACCUCUCCCAUGCAUCAUAUAACAUCUCUAAAUCGAUCUGCACAAAGAAAGAGAUGUCGUUCCUCAGCUU
rfam:Gossypium arboreum cultivar AKA8401 contig_12029_1, whole genome shotgun sequence.